rnacentral:rRNA from 1 species
AGAGUUUGAUCAUGGCUCAGGACGAACGUUGGCGGUGCGCUUUAUGCAUGCAAGUCGAGCGAGAAGCGUUGGUUCCGUAAGGUUCCGACGUGGAAAGCGGCGAACGGGUGCGUAACACGUGAGAAACCUGCCCCCCAGACCGGGAUAGCCCAGGGAAACUUGGAUUAAUACCGGAUAUUCUCUUUGGAUCGCAUGAUCCGUUGAGGAAAUGGUCCGCUGCUGGGGGAUGGUCUCGCGGCCUAUCAGGUAGUUGGUGAGGUAACGGCUCACCAAGCCGAAGACGGGUAGCUGGUCUGAGAGGACGAUCAGCCACACUGGAACUGAGACACGGUCCAGACUCCUACGGGAGGCAGCAGCAGGGAAUAUUGCACAAUGGGCGAAAGCCUGAUGCAGCGACACCGCGUGCGGGAUGAAGGCCUUCGGGUUGUAAACCGCUUUCAGGAGGGAAGAAAAUGACGGUACCUCCAGAAGAAGGCCCGGCCAACUACGUGCCAGCAGCCGCGGUAAUACGUAGGGGCCAAACGUUGUCCGGAAUUAUUGGGCGUAAAGGGCUCGUAGGCGGUUCAACAAGUCGGUCGUGAAAGCCCGGGGCUCAACUCCGGGAUGCCGGUCGAAACUGUUGUGACUUGAGUUCGGUAGAGGUGAGUGGAAUUCUCAGUGUAGCGGUGGAAUGCGCAGAUAUUGAGAGGAACACCAUUAGCGAAGGCGGCUCACUGGGCCGAUACUGACGCUGAGGAGCGAAAGCGUGGGGAGCAAACAGGAUUAGAUACCCUGGUAGUCCACGCCGUAAACGAUGAACACUAGGUGUAGCGGAUUUAUUCAUGUCUGCUGUGCCGUAGCUAACGCAUUAAGUGUUCCGCCUGGGGAGUACGGCCGCAAGGCUAAAACUCAAAGGAAUUGACGGGGCCCCGCACAAGCGGCGGAGCAUGCGGCUUAAUUCGAUGCAACCCGAAGAACCUUACCUGGGUUUGACAUCAUGGGUCUAGCUGUGGAAACACAGUGUGCUUACGCGCCCAUGACAGGUGGUGCAUGGCUGUCGUC